GAACAUUUGGACACAGGAAGGGGAACAUCACACACUGAGGCCUGUCCUGGGGUGGGGGAAGGGGGGAGGGAUAUCAUUAGGAGAUAUGCCUAAUGUAAAUGACAAGUUAAUGGAUGCAGCACACCAACAUGGCACAUGUGUACAUAUGUAACAAACCUGCAGGUUGUGCACAUGUUCCCCAGAACUUCAAGUAUAAUAAAAAAAGAAAAAAAAAGAAACUCAGUAAAAUGAAUAAAGCAGAGAAAAUAAUCAGUGAAAUUGAAAUGAAACAGUAGAAAUUACCUAAACUGAAAUGGAAAGAGAAAAUAAACUAAACAUUAAAAUGAACAGAGCCUUAGAGAAAAGUGGAAGCUAUAACAAAAGAUCUAACGUUUGUAUUAUUGAAGUUCUGAAAAAAAAAAUAGGUAGGAGGGGCUGAAGAAAGAGUUGAAUGUCAUAAUGACUGAAAAAAAUUCCAAUUUGGUGAAAUAUAUAAACCUAUAGUAUGAAGAGCUGAAUUAACCCCAAUCAGGAAAAUCUGAAAGAAGUGGACACUAAGACACAUAAUAAUCAAAUUUCUAAAAACUAAAAACACUGAAAGAAAACCUUGAAAACAGCAAGAGAGAAUGAGAACUUAAAUAUAGAAGAAAAUAAUUCAAAACACAGCUGAUUUAUAAGCCAAAACAAUGGAGGCCAAUAGGAAGUGAGAUAUUUUUCAAGUCUGAAGCUAAAGAUAACCAUAAUUCUAUAACUAGCAGAAUUAUCUUUCAGGAAUAAAGGGAGAGUCCAGACAUCCUCAGAUUAAGAAAAACUAAGUGAAUUUGUUGUCAUUAGAACAAUCUUUUUUUUUUCUCUUUCUCUUUUUUUUUUUUUUUUUUUUUUUUUUUUUUUUUUUGUCACCCAGGCUGGAGUGCAGUGGCGCGAUCUUGACCACUGCAAGCUCUGCCUCUCGGGUUCAGGCCAUUCUCCUGCCUCAGCCUCCUGAGUAGCUGGGACUACAGGUGCCCACCACCAUGCCCAGCUAAUUUUGUGUGUGUGUGUGUGUGUGUGUGUGUGUGUGUGUGUGUGUAAUUUUGGUAGAGACGGGGUUUCACCAUGUUAGCCAGGAUGAUCUCGAUCUCCUGACCUCGUGAUCCUCCCACCUCGGUCUCCCAAAGUGCUGGGAUUACAGGCAUGAGCCACCAUGCCCGGCCAGAACAAUCUUAAAUAAAUAGCUACAGACAGAUUUCUAAACAAAAAGGAAUGAAUAAAAGAGGAACAUUGGAAAAUCAGGAAGAAAUAAAAAGUGGAAAAAGGAAAAAUACAAUCAAAUACAUACAUUUUAUUAUCCUUUUGAUUUUUCUAAAUAAUGUUAGGUACUUAAAAAAAGUGUGAUACUAUAUGAUUUGACUCAAAUAUAUUUAGAAGCAGUAUUUGAAACAAUUAUAAAUGGUGGAGGAUAAAAGAUGGUACCAGGAUAUAAAAUUUCCAAAUUUUACUCAAAUUGGUAGAAUGCUAGCUCUAGUAGACAUGACAAAUUAUGUAUAUAUAAUGUUUUACCAAGAACAACCAUAAAAAAUCUAUAUAAAUUCACUCAAAAGCACUAUGGAUAAAUAAAACAGAAAUUUAAAAUAUUUUCGAGAAUCUCUUUUUGUUACCAACAACAGGCCAUUUUGGUUACUGUGGCUUUAUAGUAUAGUUAAAGUUGGGUAGUGUGAUGCCUCCAUCUUUGUUCUGUUUGCUUAGGACUGCUUUGCUAUUUGGGCUUCAUUUUGGUUCCAUAUGAAUUUUAGAAUAGUUUUUUUCUAAUCCUGUGAAGAAUGACAUUGAUAUUUUGAUGGGAAUAACAUUGAAUCUAUAAGUUGCUUUCACAAGUAUGGCCAUUUACACAAUAUUGAUUUUUCCAAUCUAUGAGCAUAGAAUGUUUUUCCAUUUAUUUGUGUCAUCUCUGAUUUCUUUCAACUGUGUUUUGUAGUUCUCUAACUGGCUAGCCAUAUGCAGAAGAUAGAAGCUGGACCCUUACUUUUUACCAUAUACAAAAAUUAACCCAGGAUACAUUAAAGAUUUAAAUGUAAAACCUCAAGCUAUAAAAAUUCUGGAUGACAACCUAGGAAAUACACUUUUCUACAUUGGCCUUGGCAAAUAAUUUUUGGCUAAGUCCCCAAAAGCAAUUACAACCAAAACAAAAAUAGACAUGUGGGACCUAAGUAAACUAAAGAGCUUCUGCACAGCAAAAGAACUAUCAGCAGAGCAAACAGACAAACUACAGAAUGGGAGAAGGGAGAAGACAUUUGCAAACCAUGGAUCCAACAAAGGUCUAAUAUCCAAAAUCUAUAGGGAAUGUAAGGAAAUCGAUAAUAAUAAUAAUAAUAACCCCCAUUAAAAAUGGACAAAAGACAUGAACAGGCUCUUUUCAAAAGAAGAUAGACGGCCGGGCACGGUUGCUCAUGCCUGUAAUGCCAGCACUUUGGGAGGCCGAGGUGCGUGGAUCACGAGGUCAGGAGAUGGAGACCAUCCUGGCUAACACAGUGAAAUCCCAUCUCUACUAAAUACAAAAAAAUUAGCCAGGCUUGGUGGCGGGCGCUUGUAAUCCCAGCUACUCGGGAGGCGGAGGCAGGAGAAUUGUGUGAACCCAGGAGGUGGAGCUUGCAGUGAGCCGAGAUCCCGCCACUGCACUCCAGCCUGGGCGACAAAGCGAAGCGAGACUCCGUCUCAAAAAAAAAAAAAAAAAAAACAAAAACGAAAAAAGAAGAUAUAUAAGCAGCCAACAAAUGUAUGAACAAAUGCCCAGCAAUAAUCACCACAGAAAUGCAAAUCAAAACCACAAUGAGAUAUCAUCUCUCACCAGACAGAAUAGCUGUUAUUAAAAAGUCAAAAAACAAUAGAUCUUGAUGAGGUUCCAGAGAAAAAAGAACACUUAUACACUGUCGGUGGGAAUGUAUAUUAGUCCAGCCACUAUGGAAAGCAGUCUGAAGGUUUCUCAUUGAACAUAAAACAGAGCUACCAUUCGACCCAGCAGUCUCAUUACUGGGUAUAUACCCAAAGGAAUAUAGGUCAUUAAACCAAAAGACACAUGCACUCAUAUGUUCACCACUGCUCUUUUCACAAUAGCAAAGACAUGGAAUCAACCUACAUGCUCACCAAGGAUAGAUUGGAUGAAGAAAAAUUGAUGCAUAUAUACCAUGAAAUACGACACAAGCCAUAAAAAUGAAUAAAAUCAUGUCCCUUGCAGCAACGUGGAUGGAGCUGGAAGCCAUAAUUCUAUACAAAUUAAAGCAGGAACAGAAAAUCAAAUACCACAUGUUCUCAAUUACUAAUGAGAGCUAAACAUUGAGCACACAUGGACAUAGAUGUGAGAACAGUAGAUACUGUGGACUGCCAGUGAGUGGAGUGGGAAGGUGGGUUAAAAAACCACCAAUCAAAUGCUAUGCUCAUUACCAAGGUAAUGGAAUCCAUACUCCAAACCUCAGCAUCGUGCAACAUUCCCAUGUAACAUAUCUGCACAUGUACUCCAUAUAUCUAAAAUAAAAGUUGAAAUUUAAAAAUAAAAUACUAAUAAUUAUACUUCACAGAAAGUAUAUAAAUUAAUUUUAAAAUCUCAAAUAACAUAGAAGAAAGCAGAAAAAAAGAGAUACAAAAUAGACGAGAAAAAAAUUAAAAUGAUACAUAAGCUCUACAGUAUAAAUAAUUUAAAUUUAAAUGGUCUAAAUGCACAAUUAAAUUAAAGAAAUUGAUGGUGUAGAUUUAAAAAACAGGACCCGAGGGUAUGCUUUUUAUAAGAAACAGCCUUCAAAUAUAAUGAGGAAAGUUAAAAGUAAAAAAAUGGGGAAAAACAUAUCAUAUAAAUAUUAAUGAAAUUAAUCAAGAGUGAUUACAAUAAUAUUACCAGGAUAGAGUGAAACAUUAUUUAAUGAUAAAAAGUACAAUUCACCAAGAAAAGUAGCACUUCUAAUUAUGUAUGAAUCAAACAAUAGAGCUGUAAAAUACAUGAAGCAAAAACUGACAAAGCUGAAAAGAAAAAUAGGAAAUUACACUAUUACAGUGGAAAACUUUAACAUUUCUCUCUCAGCAAAUGAUAUAGAAAUUAGGCAUAAAUCUGCAAUGAUAAAAAACUCAACACAUGAUUAACCAAAAGGAUCUAAUCAACAGUAGACAAUGAAUAAUACACAGUAUUUUCAACUGCCUAUAUAAAUUAUACUAAAUUAGACUACAUCCUGGACCAGAAAAGAAACCUCAGCACAUUUCAAAGAAUUAAAAUCAUACACAGUAUAGUCUCCCUCUACAAUGGAAUCAAACUAGAAUUCACAAACAGAAGAGCUAGUUAUAGUGGCAUGUGCCUGUAGUCCUAGCUACCAGAUCAGCUGAGAGAAUAAAUCAAUGAAAUUGAAGAGAGAAAGAAUAAUAGAUAAAUUAAAAUGAAUGAAAAUAUGGCUCUUUAAUUAUCAAUAAAAUUGACAAAGAUCUACCAAAAUGAGAAAACAAAGAGAGAAGACACAAAUCAUCAACAUUAAGAAUGAAACAGAGGAGAUCACUGUGGACUCCACAGAUAUUCAAAGAUCAAUUAGAAAAUACUGCUGAUAAACUUACACACAUGAAAUUUGAAAACUUAGGUGAAAUUUACCAAUUUCUUGAAAAGCAAAAUGUAUCCUGACUCAUCUAAUAUGGAAUAGGUAAUUUGAAUGGUCCUGAACAGGUAAUUAACAAAAUUAAAUAUAUGUAUUUUUUCUAAUUAAAAAAGAUAAUAUCCAGGCUCAGUUUUCACUGAGGGUUUCUUACAAAUAUUCAGAGAAGAAUUAACAUAAUCUACACAAAUAAUUUUCAAAAAAUAGAAGGCUUCCCAACUCUUAUUAUAAAGUUAAUAUUACCUGAUACCAUGACCAAAAAUAGCAAUGAAAAAGAAAACUACGGAUCAAUAUAAAUGCAAAAAUUCUUAACAAAAUAUUAUAAAAUAGAAUUCAGCAAUAUAUAAAAAGAAUUGUAUACAAUCUUCAAGUGAGUUUUACUGUAGGGUUGCCAAGAUGGUUCAAUACUAAAAGAUCAAUGUAAUCCACCAUAUGAAAAGGUCAAAAAAGAUAAAUCUCAUGAUUAUAUCAUUUGAUGCAUAAAAAGUUUUCCAAGAUUCAGCACUCAUUUAUUAUAAAACUCUGAAAAAUAACAGGAUUAGCUUCCUCGCAAAAAUCAUUUAUGAAAGAUCUACAGCGAGUUAUUACAUUAAAUAAUAAAAGAUUGAAUGUUUGAGAGCAACACAAGGGUAUUUACCAUCACUGUUGCUAUUAAACAUAGCAAUGGAGGUUCUAGAAAGAGUAAUAAGGCAUACGAUGGAUAUCAAUUGUUAACACAUUUGAAAGAAACAAAGCUGUCUCUAUCUGCAGAUGGGAAAAGGUAUGUGUAAAAACCUAUGAAAAACCAACAGAAAGAAAAUAAAAUCUGGAAUUAAUAAAUGAGUUUAUUAAGGUUACAGGAUGCAAGAAAAAUGUGAAAAGUCAGUCUUAUUGGUAUAUACUAACAGUGAGCAUCUGGAAACCCAAGUGAUAAACACAACAUUUACAAUUACAGAAAAACUGAAAUGCUGAUGUGUUAAACUUUAUAAAACCUAAACAGCACCUCUAGCUAUAAGUUUCAAAAUGCACAUGAAAAAAAUAAAGAUCCACAACCUACGUAAAUAAAGAGACAUACUAUGUUUGUGGAUUGAAAGACUCAACAUUGUAAAGAUAUCUAUUUUCCCAAAAUUGAUCUUCAGGUUCAGUGCAAUUUUAAUUAAAUUCUAGGAGGGUUUAUUUUAUUUUAUUUUUUAGAAAUAGACAAGCGUUUUAUAAAAUGUGUAUGGAAAAAAAAAUAUACUCAAAUAUCUCAAUCAUGAACAAGAAGAAUAAAGGGAAUUGUUCUACCUGAUUACAAUACUUAUUAUAUACAUACAGUAAUCUAGACUCUGUAGCAUUGGUGGAAAGAUAGAACCAUAGGUCAACUGAAUAGAAGAAUACCAUGCAAUGGUCCCAUGCAAGGGUGACUUACUGUUUUUUGACAAACCCACAAAAACAAUUCAAUGGAGGAGAAAUAGUCUUUUCUAUAAAUAGUGCUGGGACAAUUGGCUAUUUCUAUAGAUUUAAUGUUUAUGUCUUCACCACACUGAUAUAUUUAAACCUAAUCCACAAUGUAAUAGUAUUUGGAGGUGGGGACUUUGGAAGGUAAUUAGGUCAUGAGGUCUGAACCUUCAUUCACAGGAUUAGUGCACUUAUAAAAGGGUUUCAGAGGGCCCCCUCACCUUUUCUGCCAUGUGAGGAUACAGUGAGAAGGCCAUCUAUGAAAAUGGAUGGAGGCCUUCAGCCACUAAUUCUACAAGUCUUAAUUUUUGACUUCUCUGCCUGCACAACUCUGAGAAACAAACUUCUGUUGUUUAUAAGAUACUCAUUCUACAGUAUUCUAACAGUCUGAGAGGACUAAUACAUAUAUCCUUAGGCAAAAAGAAUUAACAUCAACCUAAUCUUCACACAUUAAACAAAAAUUAAUGCAAGAUGGAUUAUAGAAUUAGAUGUAAAAUGUAAAACUAUAAAAUAUCUGGAAAGAAACCAUGGGAGAAACUCUUGGGGAACUCAUGCUUGAUGAGCAAAUUUAGAUCUGACACAAAUAUUAUGAUCCAUGCAAUCUUUAAAAGAUGAUAAAUUAUGCUUUGUCAAAAUUAGAAACUUCUGCUUUGUGAAAGACCAUGUUAAGAGGAUAAAAAGACAAGUUACAAACUCAAAGUAUUUGAAAAACCACAUAACUAUUAAAGGACUCAUAUCUGGAAUAUAUAAAGAACUCUCAAAACUCAACAGUAAAAAAAAAAAAACUGUAAAGAAAAACAAAAACUAAAAACGAGCCAGUUAUAAAAUCGGUAAAAGCAUGAACAUAUAUUUUACCACAGGUGAUAUCCAGAAGGUACAUGAAAACAUAUUCAUCGUUAUUGGACCAUCAGGCCAGCAUAAAGAAAGACCAUGGUGAGAUAUCACUACACACCUACUGGAACAGCUAAAAGAAAAACAAAACAAAAAACACUCAUGAUACCAGAUGUUGGUUUGAAUGCGGAGAAACUAGAUUCCUUGUAUGUUGCUGCUGGCUUUCUAAAACAAUACUAGAAAAAUAGUUUUGCUGUUUUACUUUUAAUGUAAACUUACGCUUAUUACAUUAUCCAGCAAUCACACUUAUGGACUUUUUUUUAAGGAAUGGACACUUGUGUCUUUACAAACUCUAGUACAAAAUUGUUCAUAGUAGCAUUAUUUACACUAGAAAAAAAUCUGAAUAAAAUUUCUCAUAAUAGACUAAUGAAUAAACAAACUGUGAUAGAACCAUAACAUGAAAAAUUACUCAAUAAUAAAAAUUAAAUAAACAAGAAACUAUUGAUCUAUCUAAUGACUUGAAUGGAUCACAAGGAAAUUAUGCUGAGUGAAAAAGAAGAAUCCACCAUCAAAAUGUCACAUAUUUUGCAGUUCUAUUUAUGUUUGUAUUUAUUUAUUUAUUUAUUUAUUUAUGAGUAUACUUUAAGUUUUAGGGUACAUGUGUACAAUGUGCAGGUUAGUUACAUAUGUAUACAUGUGCCAUGCUGGUGCACGCUGCACCCACUAACUCAUCAUCUAGCAUUAGGUAUAUCUCCCAAUGCUAUCCCUCCCCCCUCCCUCCAUC
rnacentral:lncRNA from 1 species